GAAUCAUUUCAUGGGCGAGGGCUUUGGACCAAGAGCCAAGCAGAAAAUAGCAAAGGCGCCUGCCUAUAGGACGUGGAAAGGAGACGAAAGGCAAUCAAAACAGCUUUGUCGACAUUCAGAAAGCAGGAUUUGGUGUCCUCAUCGGUCAGAUAUAUCUUCGUUACACUGUGUACACAUUUCAACGCAGAUAGUUUGACGUCGAUUACACUGAAGAUCCUAUCUGCUGUCUAAAACUGGAUCAAACUCUUCCUCCUCCAGCUCUGAUGGGAAUGUUAGUUUGCUGACUGCUGCGGCCCUUGUCAUUGUCAUCGUUAUAUGUGUUUGCUGUGGGUUGUGUCUCUGGAAUGCCUGGCUCAGGAUGCAGCCGCUGAGCAGUCCACUCCUUUCAGGAGCCAAGGGGAGGCGUGAUUGGCCGCUGGCCUUAUCUGGGUGGAGCUGUAGGAGGGAUAUUACUUAUUCAUUGGCACGUUCUGCAAGGCCCCUCCCACCUCACUGACGCUCUGCCCUUGGCCCCUGUUAGCUGCCUGUGUAUCUGGGAAUGCUGUUGUUGCAUCAGAGGGGCAGUGUUGGAGUUGGCCGAACUCGGGGGCUAAGGUCAGGGUCAAGAUUCAAGGGUCAACACAACUCAGAAGCUGCAGGGGUGGAUGUGGAAGGACCUGAAGCCAAGCUGCAGGCACCAACAGGCAUAAGCUGUAUGCACUGUGGAAAUCAGCUUGUUCUAACUCCACACCUGACCCCUGGAAACUAAAGCCUUUCAUCUAUGAGACGGGAAGCUUACUUUCACUUCCACAGCCUUGUUGCACUUGUUCAGACAUCCUAGAACUCUCUGGAGCUAGUGUCUUUAUUAUUUAACACUGCACAACUUCCCCUGAAACAAUCAC
rnacentral:lncRNA from 1 species